GGGGGGAGUUGGAAGCGGGUGGGGAGAGGAGUAGAGGGAGAAAUAACUCCGGCUAAAGUUUAUACAAUUAGAACCUAUCUGCUAAAAGUAGACUUUGUGCUUUUGGCUUCUCCUUUCCCUUCGCUGCGAGGAUGUGUGUUGUAAGAGGUAAGCGUUGCCGGCUCAGAAGUGCGGAGCGGGGUCAGGAGAAAAGAGUGAGGAGGAGAGGGGAGGGAGGAAAGAGAAGCGAAAGGACAGCGAGGAUGGUUUGAGGAGCAGGACUGCACAGUGGGAAGGAUGGAGUCAUCCAGUGGCUCAGCGUUGCUUCAGCGAGGGUUUGAUGAGGUCGUCACGGGGAAGUGACUAAGAAGUGUAUGAAAUGUUGAUGUCGAAGGAGUGGUACCCAAGACACAACAAGAGGCUUCCCUUGUCUUCCACUACAGCAAGGAAAAAAAGGAAGAAACUUACAUUCAGACAACAUUCAACUCAAAGCACAGGUGAAAGCACUCAAUGCUUCUGCAUUGUUCACAGCACUCUCAUGGGGAUCAGGAUAACUGCCAAACUGUGAACCUUCAAUAUCCACAUCUCAAGGUAGCCCCCCAAUAGUACCCCAAUUGGGUACUUUUGUGAAUUGGUUCACUUUUGCGUGCACCUUCUGCAUCCACCAGAAAGAGGAUGAAGAACUUCAGCUUCAUUAUUACGCUCUCUCUGAGUAGACAAUAAACAUAAAUAAACAAACAAAUAAAUAUUCCUGCUUUUGAGAGAAACAAAGUUAUCUUUCUAGGUGGCUGUUAGGUCUCGAUGUUUUUAGAACACUGAGUAGCUCAAGCAAAUGGUAAGUCACCAAAACUUUCAUACCGAUUUUCUGAGGAUGUUUGAAAGCUAACUUCAGGCAUCUAAGAGAUUCAGACAAACAAUGAAGCAACUCAUGUAGAGAAAAAUUAAUCAUGCCCAGGAUUCUGUCUCAUCCAUUGGAUGACAGCCACUAGUGAUCUGUGCUGUGAUCGGUUUUUAAACUGAUGGUCUCUCAUUCUGAAAGAAAGAUAUACGUCGUGAUUUCUUAGUGACUUCAAGAACUUCAUCAAAUAUUGCAUUCAUAUCAACACCUGUGCUAUACUCACACAGUAUUUAUAAUGUUCAUACAGAUCAGUUGCCAUUGUAAUAUUCUGAAAGGCUGCAAUGUACCUUGGACGGGUAAAGAAACACUGGCCAUAUCAAAAUAAGGUAACAGCUGCUUCUCUUAAUACAGAAUAGUCUGAGAUCAAGUGGCUUUGGAUUCUGUUAAGAAAA
rnacentral:lncRNA from 1 species